rnacentral:rRNA from 1 species
UACGAAGGGGGCUAGCGUUGCUCGGAAUCACUGGGCGUAAAGCGCGUGUAGGCGGCUAAGUAAGUCGGGCGUGAAAUCCCACGGCUCAACCGUGGAAGUGCACUCGAAACUGCGUAGCUAGAGUCCUGGAGAGGAAGGUGGAAUGCUUGGUGUAGAGGUGAAAUUCGUAGAUAUCAAGCGGAACACCGGUGGCGAAGGCGGCCUUCUGGACAGUGACUGACGCUGAGACGCGAAAGCGUGGGGAGCAAACAGG